CACAACUUGAGGGAAGGAGCCUGCUGGGAGCCCAGUGGGGAGCCGCUUCAAGAAAAUGGACACGCGUUCCAAGUGCGGCAGGUGCGGCCUGAUUCAGCUCAUGGAGGCCAUGUUUGACAACCAAGACAGAAUUGGAUAUAACUAAGAUGUCCAGUCUCUCCAACUCACCGCAGCCAGUGAUGCUUCCCAUGUGAACAAAAAAGCCAGUGUUUCCAGGCAUUUAGUUCAGCCGAGCGCUCUUCCCUCGCCCAAGGUGCUACUCUAUCUGCCAUCCAGGAAUAGAAAUGCUUGUGGUGGAUGCUCCAGGAUGCCACAGAGAAGCCUGAGUGCAGUGAUUGUGUCUGUUACAGUCACAGGAAAGGUGCCUUCGGUGCGUUCUUCAGAUGUGUGCAGAACCAUGAGCUGUUUCCUGUAACAAUGAGCUGAGAAGAUUGUGUUUUUUUCUUUCAUCUUCACUUUGAAUUCAAUCAGAAUGACUUUCCACCUGGCAGUUAACAGAAUGAAGCAUAUGUGGCUGUCGCCCUACUAACCUGAACCCAAGUUAUCAUGGCCCUAGAGAUCGCCUUUAAACUCUGAAGAUGGACUUUGACAAAAAACAACAACAACAAAAAACCAACACCAAGUUCUCUGAGAGUUACUUAAGGCAGGUACAUACUGAGUGAGUGUAUUGAUCAGAGGAGGAAUUUAUUGUACAGGAGGAAGAAAAGACAUCCAGGUUAACUAGUAGAAAUAAAAGGACCUAAGUUAAUACAUUUAGGGGAAUGUGGAGAGGUCAUGAAUGCUUUAUAGAGAAACAGCCAAAACACGCACACACACAAAAAGGAGAAACUGAAGAAUGUUUAUAUUCUUAGCAUCAUAAAAGUGAAAGGUGUCAAGAAUACCACUGAGGUUUAAGCAUAGAACAUAGAGGUUCAAUUAAAGCUGAGUUACACCUGCCCCAGUCUCUGUUGCCCCAGCAUUGGGUCUUAUUCCCCUUGUUAAUGAUGUUCUGAUAAGAAAAAAGUACAUUCGUUUUUAGAAGUUGAGCUACAUGUAUCUAACACCAUUCCGAGAGGAGAUCUGAGUAGGGUUUGGGAUGAAUUGCAUAUGGUCAUGAGAGAAAGAAAUCAGUUACAUCUAAAGGUUAACUUGGGCCAGCAUAUGUGGCUCAGAUGGUUGAGCAUUGACCUAUGA